UGUGUAUCACCUGAACAACCAGACUUCAAAGCAGCUUGACCAAAUCGGAGGGUGCCUCGUUGCUUAUCGUGAAUAUUACACCGACAUGAAUUACUACAAGUAUACUGGUUUGUCCAAUAUGCAUUGACCGUAUUGGGUAUGGUACCUGCUCUGAGAAGGGAAUCGCUGGAGCCACAGUCCAACUAUACAGGCUUUCAAGAAACAGAGAGGAGCCAUCUUUGCAAGCUGAUACCUGAUGUGUACCGACAGAAUUCUCACGAGAUAGCUUACAGACUACGCCUGGUGUAUACUUCAUAGUACUCCUUCGACUACUGUCUAGAAUCAAGUCGACUGAAGCAAGUUCAAACAACUCUGGCUUCAAACGAGCCGUCGAUUAGACAAACAAAACAUUCUCUCAUAUACUAGAGCACUCUGACAACUCACGACCUAUUCCUAACGAUUGCCACCGCUUAUAAAUAUGUAGAGUACUGAUUGGAAUGUGCUCACAAUCUCAACAAUCCAGUGCUAUAAUUAUUUGAACUAUGUGUUCCUUCCAUAAAUGUUGUAUCCACAUAUAAUCCACAGUGCUGCAAAGUUUCAGAGUUCUCAGGGUAUCAAACAAAAUUACUUCAAAUACAGUGAAA